UGAGAUAAGUCUCAUUGUCAAAAGGGAAACAGCCCAGAUCUACAGCUAAGGUCCCCAAUAUAUGCUAAGUGGAGAAGGAUGUGGCGAUGUAAAAACAACCAGGAUGUUGGCUUAGAAGCAGCCACACAUUAAAAGAGUGCGUAACAGCUCACUGGUCGAAUGACGCUGCGCCGAAGAUUUAACGGGGCUAAGCAUAUAACCGAAGCUUAGGCAGUAAAAAAUACUGGGUAGGGGAGCGUUGUGUACUGGGUGAAGCCAUAGCGCAAGCAGUGGUGGACGGUACAGAAGUGAGAAUGCCGGAAUAAGUAGCGAGAAUUGCGUGAGAAUCGUAAUGGCCGAAAAUCUAAGGUUUCUUGGGGCAGGUUCGUCCGCCCAAGGUAAGCCGGGAGCUAAGGCGAGGCCGAAAGGCGUAGUCGAUGCACAUACGGUAGAGAAUCCGUAGCCGUCAAAAGAUUUAAGUAUGCUGACACCGAGAGCGAAUCCAACCCGGGCGAUGGUAGCCCCGGGCGAAAGGGACUGAAAUUAGAGUAGGGAAGUGGAUGAAGGCUCGGGCGAGAAAAGGCAUAUGAAUAUCUGCGAUGUCCGUACCGCAAACCGACACAGGUAGAUGGGAAGAGAAUUCUAAGGCCAACGGGAGAAGGGUUGUUAAGGAACUCGGCAAAUUAACCCCGUAACUUCGGGAGAAGGGGAGCCUCGAAAGAGGCCGCAGUGAAAAGGCCCAGGCGACUGUUUAGCAAAAACACAGGUCUCUGCAAAACCGAAAGGUGAAGUAUAGGGGCUGACGCCUGCCCGGUGCUGGAAGGUCAAGGGGAAGUGUAAGGAGCAAUCCGAAGCACAGAACUUAAGCCCCAGUAAACGGCGGCCGUAACUAUAACGGUCCUAAGGUAGCGAAAUUCCUUGUCAGGUAAGUUCUGACCCGCACGAAUGGCGUAACGAUCUGGGCACUGUCUCAACAGCCCGCCCGGCGAAAUUGUAGUACCGGUGAAGAUGCCGGUUACCCGCGACUAGACGGAAAGACCCCAUGGAGCUUUACUGCAGCUUGAUACUGAGCCUCGGUAUAUUAUGUACAGGAUAGGUGGGAGACAGAGAAGCAUGCGCGUCAGCGUGUGCGGAGUCGCCGUUGGGAUACCACUCUUGAUGUACUGAGGUUCUAACCUACACUGCUGAAUCGCGGUGGGGGACAAUGUCAGGUGGGCAGUUUGACUGGGGCGGUCGCCUCCAAAAGAGUAACG
rnacentral:rRNA from 1 species